ACAGCUGCGGUAAUUUGACCGUGCAAAGGUAGCAUAAUCAUUUGCCUCAUAAUUGGGGGCUGGAAUGAAUGGAAUUUCAAGAUGUAAGCUUUAUUUGAAAAAAUUAAUGAAUUUGUUUUUUAGGUGAAGAAACUUAAAUUUUUAUAUGGGACAAGAAGACCCUUUUGAGCUUUAUUACUGUUAUUUUUUUUUUUUAUUGGUAAUUUGAUUGGGGCGAUCAAGGAAGUAGCUAUCUUCCUUUAGAUACUUGAUCCAAGUUUUUUGAUUAAUUGAAUAAGUUACCAAAGGGAUAACAGCGUAAUUUUUUUUGAGAGUUCUUAUUAAAAAAAAAGAUUGCGACCUCGAUGUUGACUUAUAAUUUCCUUUUGGUGUAGCUGCUAAGUGG
rnacentral:rRNA from 1 species